rnacentral:rRNA from 1 species
GAUGAACGCUGGCGGCGUGCCUAAUACAUGCAAGUCGAGCGAACAGACGAGGAGCUUGCUCCUUUGAUGUUAGCGGCGGACGGGUGAGUAACACGUAGGUAACCUACCUAUAAGACUGGGAUAACUUCGGGAAACCGGAGCUAAUACCGGAUAAUAUUUCGAACCGCAUGGUUCGAUAGUGAAAGAUGGCUUUGCUAUCACUUAUAGAUGGACCUGCGCCGUAUUAGCUAGUUGGUAAGGUAACGGCUUACCAAGGCAACGAUACGUAGCCGACCUGAGAGGGUGAUCGGCCACACUGGAACUGAGACACGGUCCAGACUCCUACGGGAGGCAGCAGUAGGGAAUCUUCCGCAAUGGGCGAAAGCCUGACGGAGCAACGCCGCGUGAGUGAUGAAGGUCUUCGGAUCGUAAAACUCUGUUAUUAGGGAAUAACAAACGUGUAAGUAACUGUGCACGUCUUGACGGUACCUAAUCAGAAAGCCACGGCUAACUACGUG